AGCCGGGGACUCUGAUAAGACUGCCUGCGCAAGCAGAGAGGAAGAGGGAUGACGUCAAGUCCUCAUGGCCCUUAUGCCCAGGGCUACACACGUGCUACAAUGGGUGGUACAAAGAGAUGCAAUCUCGCAAGAGCAAGCAAACCUCAAAAAGCCAUCCUCAGUUCGGAUUGGAGUCUGCAACUCGACUCCAUGAAGUCGGAAUCGCUAGUAAUCGCGGAUCAGCACGCCGCGGUGAAUACGUUCCCGGGCCUU
rnacentral:rRNA from 1 species